rnacentral:rRNA from 1 species
AGACCCGAAACCCGGUGAUCUAGCCAUGGGCAGGUUGAAGGUUGGGUAACACUAACUGGAGGACCGAACCGACUAAUGUUGAAAAAUUAGCGGAUGACCUGUGGCUGGGGGUGAAAGGCCAAUCAAACCGGGAGAUAGCUGGUUCUCCCCGAAAGCUAUUUAGGUAGCGCCUCGUGAAUUCAUCUCCGGGGGUAGAGCACUGUUUCGGCUAGGGGGCCAUCCCGGCUUACCAACCCGAUGCAAACUGCGAAUACCGGAGAAUGUUAUCACGGGAGACACACGGCGGGUGCUAACGUCCGUCGUGAAGAGGGAAACAACCCAGACCGCCAGCUAAGGUCCCAAAGUCAUGGUUAAGUGGGAAACGAUGUGGGAAGGCCCAGACAGCCAGGAUGUUGGCUUAGAAGCAGCCAUCAUUUAAAGAAAGCGU